rnacentral:rRNA from 1 species
UAAGGAUUUAAAAGUCGAACAGACUUAAUAUUAAGAAUUCUGCUUCUUAAGCUUUACCUUAAUUCAACAUCGAGGUCGCAAAAAUUAAUAUAGAUAUGAACUCGCCAUUAUAAUUACGCUGUUAUCCCUAAGGUAACUUUAUCUUAUUAUCUCUAAAAAAGAUCAAAAAUUACACGAAUAAUGAAUAUAAAAAUUAAAGUUAGAAUUUAAUUGCCGCCCCAACAAAAAAUAACAUUGAUUUUAAAUUUUAAAAAUAAAAGUUCAACUUCAAUUUAAAUUUUAAGUUCUAUAGGGUCUUAUCGUCCCAAUAAUACAAUUAAGCAUUUUAACUUAAAAUUAAAAUUUUAAUAAUUAAAUAAAUAAAAAUUAAAUCUCAUUAAUUCGUUCAUUCCAGCUCCCAAUUAAGAAACUAAUUAUUAUGCUACCUUUGCACAGUCAAAAUACUGCAGCCAUUUAAAUAAUCAUAGGGCAGAAUAUACUUUUUAAAUAAACA